rnacentral:rRNA from 1 species
CCUACGGGAGGCAGCAGUGGGGAAUAUUGGGCAAUGGGCGCAAGCCUGACCCAGCAACGCCGCGUGAAGGAAGAAGGCUUUCGGGUUGUAAACUUCUUUUGUCAGGGAAGAGUAGAAGACGGUACCUGACGAAUAAGCCACGGCUAACUACAUGCCAGCAGCCGCGGUAAUACGUAGGUGGCAAGCGUUGUCCGGAUUUACUGGGUGUAAAGGGCGUGUAGCCGGGUUAACAAGUCAGAUGUGAAAUCCUGCGGCUUAACCGGAGAACUGCAUUUGAAACUGUUGAUCUUGAGUACUGGAGAGGCAGACGGAAUUCCUAGUGUAGCGGUGAAAUGCGUAGAUAUUAGGAGGAACACCAGUGGCGAAGGCGGUCUGCUGGACAGCAACUGACGGUGAGGCGCGAAAGCGUGGGGAGCAAACAGGAUUAGAUACCCCAGUAGUC